rnacentral:rRNA from 1 species
UGUAAUGGCCAUACCGCCCUGAAAGGCGCCUGAUCUCUUUUGAUCUUAGAAGCUAAACAGGGUCAGGCCGGGUUAGUACUGGCCGGGCACGGUGGCUC